rnacentral:tRNA from 1 species
AGGGGUGUGACUUAGUGGUAGAGCACUUGCCUGGCAACCCUUUCCUAGUGUGUGCAAGGCCCUGGGUUCCAUCCCCAGCACCUUCU